AAUAUUGGUCAAUAGCCUAACGGCUGAACCAGCAACUUGAAAGAAUGUAUAGCGAAAGCUAGUUGCGUCUAACUAUAAACAAAUAGUUGGUGUAAUAUUGACUCGAUUAAAUAAAGUUCUGGGUGGAUUAUGAUGAUGACAUUUUCUAUCUAUGUGUCUUGACCAAAUUACGUGCCAGCAGUCGCGGUAAUACGUAAAAGACUAGUGUUAUUCAUCUUUAAUUGGUUUAAAGGGUACCUAGACGGCUAAUUAAACCCCCUAAGGAGGGUACUAUUAAGCUAGAGUUUCAUAUAAGAGGGCAUUAAAGUACUGAGAAUGUAGAGAGAUGAAAUUCUGUGAUACUAUAUAUGGCACUGGUAAAGGCGAAAGCAUCCCAUUAUGUAAUAACU
rnacentral:rRNA from 1 species